CGUACACUCCUACGGGAGGCAGCAGUGGGGAAUUUUGGACAAUGGGCGCAAGCCUGAUCCAGCCAUGCCGCGUGCGGGAAGAAGGCCUUCGGGUUGUAAACCGCUUUUGUCAGGGAAGAAAAGGUUCUGGCUAAUACCUGGGACUCAUGACGGUACCUGAAGAAUAAGCACCGGCUAACUACGUGCCAGCAGCCGCGGUAAUACGUAGGGUGCAAGCGUUAAUCGGAAUUACUGGGCGUAAAGCGUGCGCAGGCGGUUAUGCAAGACAGAGGUGAAAUCCCCGGGCUCAACCUGGGAACUGCCUUUGUGACUGCAUGGCUAGAGUACGGUAGAGGGGGAUGGAAUUCCGCGUGUAGCAGUGAAAUGCGUAGAUAUGCGGAGGAACACCGAUGGCGAAGGCAAUCCCCUGGACCUGUACUGACGCUCAUGCACGAAAGCGUGGGGAGCAAACAGGAUUAGAAACCCUGGUAGUCCC
rnacentral:rRNA from 1 species